rnacentral:rRNA from 1 species
AACGAACGCUGGCGGCAUGCCUAACACAUGCAAGUCGAACGAGACCUUCGGGUCUAGUGGCGCACGGGUGCGUAACGCGUGGGAACCUGCCCUUAGGUUCGGAAUAACUCCCCGAAAGGGGUGCUAAUACCGGAUAAUGUCUUCGGACCAAAGAUUUAUCGCCUUUGGAUGGGCCCGCGUUGGAUUAGCUAGUUGGUAGGGUAAAAGCCUACCAAGGCGACGAUCCAUAGCUGGUCAGAGAGAAUGAUCAGCCACACUGGGACUGAGACACGGCCCAGACUCCUACGGGAGGCAGGAGAGGGGAAUAUUGGACCAUGGGCGAAAGCCUGAUGCAGUAAUGCCGCUUGAGUGAUGAAGGCCUUAGGGUUGUAAAGCUCUUUUACCCGGGCUGAUAAUGACAGUACCGGGAGAAUAAGCUCCGGCUAACUACGUG